UCUUUGUACGUGGGUUCUCUGUUCGUUUACCGAGUUGAACUCACCGGAGAAGAAGAAGAAGAAGAGGAAUGGCAGGAGAAGAGGCCGGCUCAAAAGUCGUUCGUCUAGUCUCUUUCUUAGGUGCCGGAGUAAUCUGCACUGCUGCUAUCAACAUGUGGAGAGAUCUAGAGCGGAAGUCCGUUCUGAAGAAGACACAAGCCUCAGAAAAGACUUCAAACGUGGUAAAUAAAGCUCUCGAUUCUUAGCUAGGGUUUCUUAACUCAUGGAUCCGGUCUACUACUGUAAUAGUACUGAGCAUUUUUGUUUCUAAGUUCUACCUUAUCUUCGGAUUAAA